AAUUAUCCUGACAUUCCUUCUUGAGACAACACUGCCCAUAACGUUUUCCCAUCUCUCCUGUAGGUGGGCUUCAGGGAGAGGCACAGCUAGGAAGGGAGGAAAGAGAGGAAAAGACUUCCUGCGGCUAGCAGGUCUCAAAGCCUUGUCCCAGAGUGCAGCAGGAUCCCCUGCAAACCUGUUAGAAGUGCACAUUCUCAGGCCGGCUCCUGCUUUAACACGCCCUCCAGGUGAUUCUGAUGACUAAAGGUGAUUUGAAGUAAAAUAAAUACCACUUAGGGCUUCCAACUCUGGACUCGGUAAUUUACCAGAAACCUACGAAAUGUCAGUUUAGGGCGUGGGGGAGGGAGAGUGAAAUAGAGAUAGACUAAACAUAGACUAGACUCAGGAACUCUAAAAUCCAGUUGGAAGUAUUACUUCCUCUGUCAGUUACUUCACUCAGGGAAGCAGGAGGUAGAAGUUUGAGCCAGGAGGUAGAAGUUUCAGCCAGUGGGUCUGAGCUGUACAAAUGCUGACAUUUCAUUCUCUGGGAGAGGCCAAAGAAAGGCAGGGCUUCUAGGCGUGUGCUCGCAACUGCCACCCUGUGGUGGGGUCGUGGCGGGGGAGGCUGGUGGGCUAGACCCAUCUGUGCAGGGGCCAACAGUAGCCUCCUACCCGGAUGGGGGCUACCCCAGGGGGAUUAGGAUGAGCUCACCAUUACCAGGUAGAAAGUGAACACAGGAAAACAUGAGCUGGAGGUCAGACCGCCCUAUGUUCGUUACCCUAACUGACCACUGCCAUCAAGAUUGUUAAGCAUUUUGUCACCGUUAAAGGAUUUCACACAAGCUGUUCCUCCCACUCAAACCUUGGCCAGGAAACUGGUGGAUGAUUUGCCCUUGAUUCAGAGGCAAUCAUUCUUAAUUGCCUCACAUGGUUGGAAGAAAUUCCAUAAAGAUUCUUUCAUCUCUACCAGCAUGAGCAUGUGUCAUUUGUGGAAGCAGGCCUACUUGCCAUGACAACAACUAUUCUGUGGCUUUGCAGAGGUACCCUCACAGUUGCGCUGUGCUUUUGCUAGGCAUUCGGCAGAGAUGGCCCACAUAGGACCACUGCCUUUCAACCCUACCUAUUUUAAGGUGGACUCACUUGGAUUGAGAAACUGGUAUUUUCCCCUGACUUGCACGUAUUUUGGAUGUAUAAAUAUUUUCAAAAGGCUCUUUGUCCCAGAAGGAGGACGCAAAGGGGUGAUAUAAAAUCCACCUUGGAGCCAUCUCAGGGCUGGUUGUUCUUGAUUCCUCUGAAGACCUGGAGCUGCCUGUGUGAAUCAGACUGGAAAAACACGUGGCUGCACUUUUCCAUGAAGUAGGUAACAAAGCCACAGUUCAUGCCUGGGAAACUUGCCCUAGCAUCUCCGCCAGGAGAGCAAGCCGACUCAUGCCUGGACUCCCACACGAGGGCCAGUGCCAAGUAUGCUGGAAUGAAGGGACACCGCCGAGGAUCAGGAAUACCGGAGCUCAGCCCACUUACCAGGCUGAGCUGGGGAUGCCGAGAUUACUGUGCACACUCAGGCAGAGCUGGAAGCUGAGUCUGCCAUCCAGAAGGCUGGACCCAGACAGAGUUCAGGGAUCACACCAGAAUCGGGACACAGGAGAAGUUUGCUAACCUAGGUCCAACCCAGAAUCAGAUUCAGAUUCAGAGAAGGAGGUCAGCAGGACAGCUUUGUCUCCCAAAAGGAAUCAGGCAGAGGCCAGAGAGGCAGCUUGCCAGCUAGGAGAACAACUGAGCGUCUUAAACCCAGGCAGGUUACUGGCAGUUGCUUCACCAUCUAGUGGCCUCACUUGCACACCAGCUUUCCCCAAGCAGAUAACCCCACAUAGCUGCAAAAUGAAUUAUUUUCUCUUGUCUGCUUCUAGAGGGUCCAUGACCAUUCUAUUGGCAGUUGGAGAGGUGAGAGUUAAACUGAAUGUGAGCCUGUGUCAGGGGCCAUGACCCAUUUUAAUGGAGGGUCUCUAACAGCACCAGUCUCUCAGUAGAUACCACUCGAAUGGUGCUAAGCUACCUACUAGCAGAUUUAGCAGGGUGAUGCCUUCUGAAGUCUAAAGUUUUGACUGCUAAUCUCUGGGAAACGUGUCACAUCGUAUGCUAUUAUUUGGUGGUGGUGUCCAAAACCAACACAUUGGUCUUUCUCAGACGAGAAGGAUUCUUGGCAUAGGCAAGCAGAGGGAAGUGUGUGGUAUGUGCGUCUUCCUGUAUCAGCUUGUGUUUCUCUUAUGCUGGAGACCUGAGGUGUCCACACUGGUGGAAAAAAAAUGCUGCCAGAUUUAAGGUGAGGAGCAAUGGCAUGAGUAAUCCUUUCAGAUAGAAGUUAGCAGUGCUGGACCUUGGAGGUUGCAGUUACAGCUGCCAACAUUCGAAAAUGGACUUAGUUAUUUUAGGAAGCCAAGUGCUGCACAUAGAGCCAACCUCAGUUGAGAUGCCUUGGGACCAGUACAUAGAAGGUUUUUAAGAUUCUACAGUUCCAUUUCAUCGUUUACAAAAUAUCCACCCUGAACUACAGCUUGCUUAUUAAAUCUUUGUGAAAUUUGAAGGGGAGAGGGAAACAGUAAUAUGACCCAACAUAAGAGAAGUACCAGCGAGCCUCUGUGGACACAGGUGUGUGCAUAACCACCAUCGCUCUAAUCCUUAGAUUCAUUCUUUCUCAUUUCAGUCAAAAAACAGAUUCUAAAAUUAAGGCAGACUGACACCCACUGCGUCCUAAACUGUAGAUGCAUUAAAGGUUAUUAGCACAAUUUCCUAGUAUUAUCUUUGAGUUUGUUUUAAAAAGUAACUUUUUAAGAUAAAGACAAAUUAUAACUUUAGAAAGAAUACUAUGAACUGUCAAUUCUGUCACAUACUGAGCAAAUUUUUUAAAAAAGUAUAAUGUACAAUUUUUUUUCUAAUUCUUUUUCAAGCACAGCUUGAUAAACGUUGUCUCUU